rnacentral:misc_RNA from 1 species
UGGCUCUGGCAUCGAUGAAGAACGCAGCGAAAUGCGAUAAGUAGUGUGAAUUGCAGAAUUCAGUGAAUCAUCGAAUCUUUGAACGCACAUUGCGCCCCUUGGUAUUCCAUGGGGCAUGCCUGUUCGAGCGUCAUCUACACCCUCAAGCUCUGCUUGGUGUUGGGCGUCUGUCCCGCCUUUGCGCGCGGACUCGCCCCAAAUUCAUUGGCAGCGGUCUACGCCUCCUCUCGCGCAGCACAUUGCGUUUCUUGAGGUGUUGUGGUCUGCAUCCAGUAAGCAAUUUACCGUCUUUGACCUCGGAUCAGGUAGGGAUACCCGCUGA